GAUGAACGCUGGCGGCGUGCCUAAUACAUGCAAGUAGAACGCUGAAGGAGGAGCUUGCUCUUCUGGAUGAGUUGCGAACGGGUGAGUAACGCGUAGGUAACCUGCCUGGUAGCGGGGGAUAACUAUUGGAAACGAUAGCUAAUACCGCAUGACAACAGUUAUUGCAUGAUAACUGUUUAAAAGGGGCAACUGCUCCACUACCAGAUGGACCUGCGUUGUAUUAGCUAGUUGGUGAGGUAACGGCUCACCAAGGCGACGAUACAUAGCCGACCUGAGAGGGGGAUCGGCCACACUGGGACUGAGACACGGCCCAGACUCCUACGGGAGGAAGCAGUAGGGAAUCUUCGGCAAUGGAAGGAAGUCUGACCGAGCAACGCAGCGUGAGUGAAGAAGGUUGUCGGAUCGUAAAGCUCUGUUGUAAGAGAAGAACGAGUGUGAGAGUGGAAAGUUCACACUGUGACGGUAUCUUACCAGAAAGGGACGGCUAACUACGUG
rnacentral:rRNA from 1 species